UGGGGAAUAUUGCACAAUGGAGGGAACUCUGAUGCAGCGACGCCGCGUGAGUGAUGAAGGAAUUCGUUUCGUAAAACUCUGUUCUAUGGGAAGAAAAGGACUGUACCAUAGGAGAAAGCUCCGGCUAAAUACGUGCCAGCAGCCGCGGUAAUACGUAUGGAGCGAGCGUUGUCCGGAAUUAUUGGGCGUAAAGGGUGCGCAGGCGGCUUUACAAGUUGGAUGUGAAAUAUUGUGGCUCAACCACAAACGUGCAGCCAAAACUGCAAAGCUUGAGUUAAGGAGAGGUAAGUGGAAUUCCUGGUGUAGCGAUGGAAUGCGUAGAUAUCAGGAGGAAUACCGGUGGCGAAGGCGACUUACUGGACUUAAACUGACGCUCAGGCACAAAAGCGUGGGGAGCAAACAGG
rnacentral:rRNA from 1 species